CCAGGGCGACACACGUGCUACAAUGGCGCAUACAGCGGGGUCGCAAGCCGGUAACGGUAAGCCAACCUCUAAAAGUGCGUCUCAGUUCGGAUUGAGGUCUGCAACUCGACCUCAUGAAGCUGGAAUCGCUAGUAAUCGCGCAUCAGCCAUGGCGCGGUGAAUACGUUCCCAGGACCUUGUACACACCGCCCGUCAAGCCAUGGAAGUUCGGG
rnacentral:rRNA from 1 species